rnacentral:rRNA from 1 species
GACGAACGCUGGCGGCGUGCUUAACACAUGCAAGUCGAACGGAAAGGCCCUGCUUUUGUGGGGUGCUCGAGUGGCGAACGGGUGAGUAACACGUGAGUAACCUGCCCUUGACUUUGGGAUAACUUCAGGAAACUGGGGCUAAUACCGGAUAGGAGCUCCUGCUGCAUGGUGGGGGUUGGAAAGUUUCGGCGGUUGGGGAUGGACUCGCGGCUUAUCAGCUUGUUGGUGGGGUAGUGGCUUACCAAGGCUUUGACGGGUAGCCGGCCUGAGAGGGUGACCGGCCACAUUGGGACUGAGAUACGGCCCAGACUCCUACGGGAGGCAGAAGUGGGGAAGCUUGCACAAUGGGCGGAAGCCUGAUGCAGCAACGCCGCGUGCGGGAUGACGGCCUUCGGGUUGUAAACCGCUUUCGCCUGUGACGAAGCGUGAGUGACGGUAAUGGGUAAAGAAGCACCGGCUAACUACGUG